CUCUGGCUCCGCCUGAUCUCGUCUGAUCUCAGAAGCUAAGCAGAGU
rnacentral:rRNA from 1 species